AGACCCGAAACCCGGUGAUCUAGCCAUGGGCAGGUUGAAGGUUGGGUAACACUAACUGGAGGACCGAACCGACUAAUGUUGAAAAAUUAGCGGAUGACCUGUGGCUGGGGGUGAAAGGCCAAUCAAACCGGGAGAUAGCUGGUUCUCCCCGAAAGCUAUUUAGGUAGCGCCUCGUGAAUUCAUCUCCGGGGGUAGAGCACUGUUUCGGCUAGGGGGCCAUCCCGGCUUACCAACCCGAUGCAAACUGCGAAUACCGGAGAAUGUUAUCACGGGAGACACACGGCGGGUGCUAACGUCCGUCGUGAAGAGGGAAACAACCCAGACCGCCAGCUAAGGUCCCAAAGUCAUGGUUAAGUGGGAAACGAUGUGGGAAGGCCCAGACAGCCAGGAUGUUGGCUUAGAAGCAGCCAUCAUUUAAAGAAAGCGUAAUAGCUCACUGGUCGAGUCGGCCUGCGCGGAAGAUGUAACGGGGCUAAACCAUGCACCGAAGCUGCGGCAGCGACACUAUGUGUUGUUGGGUAGGGGAGCGUUCUGUAAGCCUGUGAAGGUGUGUCGUGAGGCAUGCUGGAGGUAUCAGAAGUGCGAAUGCUGACAUAAGUAACGAUAAAGCGGGUGAAAAGCCCGCUCGCCGGAAGACCAAGGGUUCCUGUCCAACGUUAAUCGGGGCAGGGUGAGUCGACCCCUAAGGCGAGGCCGAAAGGCGUAGUCGAUGGGAAACGGGUUAAUAUUCC
rnacentral:rRNA from 1 species